ACACGCCUGUUUUACAGGUUCACCUCCCCUUCUGCCAAAGCCAACAACGACAACAACACCAAUCUCUUCACCUCCUUGAUCUCAGACAUCAAAUCCUACUCUGGCAAUGACCCUCUUCUCCCAUGGCUCCGAGGGAUCAGAAAGAUGAAGGAUUUGCUACCUUCGCAAGUACUGAAUGAUAAGCUGCCACGGUUUUUGCAGAAGUGCGCGCAGACCUUCGAUUCCGAUCGCCGUUACAAAAAUGACUUACGGUACCUCCGCGUUUGGUUACAGUUGCUAUGGGCAAUCCCAAGUCCCAGAGGGUGGAGAAGGAGGUAGUGGUCUUAGUGUUACCACGCGGAAACUAAAAAAGACUGACACCUUAACCUAUCUCAAGGCGGUGAAGGACACGUUUCAAGACCAAAGAGAGAUAUUACAAGUGCUGAUCGUGAUCUUAGUGUUGAACACCUUGAGUUAAACAAAGGCAAAAGAAAAUCUGCCAGGAAAGUUGAAGGUUUUGGAGUGAAUGCAAAUUUGGCUUCUUAUGAUGACAAAGAUACCUUAAAGAGUGAGUCAACAGUUGAAUUUCUAGGUCCUCCACAAAAUAAGGUUGAAUUUCAAGAAGCUAUCAGCUUUGUGAACAAGAUAAAGAAACGCUUUCAAAAUGAUGAACGUGUUUAUAAAGCAUUCCAAGACAUUAUGAAUGUGUGCCAGAAGGAGCACAAGGGCAUAACAAUUAAGGCCUACAAUCAGGGGACAAGAACGAGGCACUCCAUACAUAUAGAAGAACUCUUGCAAAGGUCUAUUUCUACCCUUUUUUGUGAAACUUUAUUUCUUCUGCCGUCGCAUCGCCAGAGCCAUUAUUGGGUGGAAAGGCCAAGCCUUUGAGGCAACCCAAAGUCCAAGAAGAAUGGAAAGAUGUGGCGGGUGAUGUUGAGGGCAAAGGCAAAGGAAAUGAAGACCUAGACAAUUCAUUGCAAAAUAGGUAUGUUCCUAAAUUCUUGGUAGACAAUAAUUCAUAAUGUAUUAUAAUGAAACUUGAGUUCUUUUAGCAAAAAUAGUAUCAACAGAUUGGUAAUUGACUUAAAAAUUGGCAUUCAUGAUUUAUGUUAGAAAAGCAUUAGACUUAAUAGAUGACUUGGUCAAUUAGGAAUCACACCAAAGCUCUAAGUGUUGCUACUCACACUAGGUGAAUAUUGAACAUUAUUCAAAUUCUUUAUUUAUUUUUGUGUGUGUGUGUGUGUUACAUUGGUGUUUCAACAUUUGAUAGCAGUACUAUAUGCUUACAACAAAGUUAUUUUUUGUGUUUGAUUUACUUAAAAGAUAUGUAACUAUAAACCUCUAUUUUUUUGAUGAACUAUAAACCUCUAUCAUAAAAAUUUAGUGGUUUGUCAUGAUAAAUUUUAAUUUAGGAAUAUUAGACUUUAUUUUAAUUAAUUGAGAAGGGAAUAAAAUUAUUUGGUUUUGCUGUGAUAAAGUUUUGGUACCUCCCUGAUAUGGUUCUUUGGCUUAUUUCCUGUUUGGAUUAUUCAUAUUAUAUGAUUUUCUUGAUAUGGAUGUGUUUCUGAUGGAUUUGUUGAAAAAUUGGCUUUAUGCAAAGAGUUUGGCUGCAUAAAAGAACGGGUGGUGUUUGUUUGUCCAUUGCUUCAAAAGGGUUAGCAAUCACCGGGAUAGGUGAUUGAAGAUAUUGGAAUCAUAUCCCAGUUGAAGAAUCUAGAUUCUAUGUGGCUGUGGAGGUGGAACCUUAUGAAAAUGGAGGUGAAAGAGCAAUGGAGGAGAGAGAAACGUGUAGUGGAUGAGAAAGAGAGAGCAGAGAGAAAAAUAUACUUAUUUUUGGGAUUAAAGAUAGGUAUGGAAUGUUAUAAAUAAGGAUAAUAAAUGAGAUCUUUAUCAGAA